CAUUCCAGAACCACAUUUGCAGAGGUUAUUGAAUUCAAGUGGUACUGAGUUAAAAUAUGGCAGAGAUAUUUCUGUUCUUCCCCAUAUGAUUUGGCUUGCCAAGGUGAAGAUUUAGACCAGAGAUUGUACUGACAAACACCAUGAGAGCUCAUGUUAUCUACCUGCUGCAAUUUGACUUCAAAGGAUACAGUAACAUGAAAGUUUUUUAGAUUUCCCGAUGAUGUGUCUUGGGAAUUAGUAUUUUUGUCAAGUGCCUCUUAGCACUAGGCAUUUUAAACAAAAUAAAUUGGUUUUUUUCCAUGCAAGGGUGAUUUUUGGAUCCAGUUAAAGAAGCUUAUCACUCCAUUUUAUAUGUAAGUAAGACAGGAAAUUAAAUCUGCAAACUGUUUCAUGACAAGUCAUGCUAAACAUCCUGUAUGUGUCCUGAGUUGAUACAGAGAAAUGAGAAUUUUAAAAUUAUGGUGUGUAUGUAUAUGCACAUGCAUAAGCAGUUGUAUAGCAGUAACAUGAAAACUUGUAAAUAUUUGUAAAGUGAAUGUGGAUGUAAACUUUCUAUUGUGAAUAGCUUUUUAAAUCUAAUAAAUGCACCUAGUGGUGUAAGUAAUGUGUGCCUUGUAAAGUAUAUCCUGUAGCUCAGGGGUCCCCAACCCCCAGGCAGCUGACUGGUACCGGUCCGCAGCCUGUUAGCAACCGGGCCACGAAGCCUGGCUGUCCCAUGACGCUUUGCAGCCUCGCUGCCCCACCUCCCUUGCGGUGCCUCCUCCACCCUCCGUUUCUAUAAUUUUAAGGCCGGGGUUGGGGCGGUGAAGCGCCGCCUUUCCCAGCUCUUUAAGAGCAGACCCCCUGGAGACAAGGGCAGCGCUGCUUCUUCAGCAGGUUGCUCGCUGCGGUUUCCCCCACCGAUUGGCAGUGGUGUCAGCCCUUUAAAAGCUGGGGAAGGCAGCGCUUCACCGCCCCUUCUCUGGCCUUAAAAUUGUAAAAAUGGAGGGUGGAGGAGGCACCACGAAGAGAGACAGGAUGGCGAGGCUGCAUGAUCACAGGGGGCGGGAGGCUGCAUGGUGCCAAAUUUGGUGCCCUCACCCUGCUGGCCCUGGGGCCAUGGUGAGCGGGCUGGCCCUGGUGCCGGUCCCCGGUGCCACAAAUGUUGGGGACCACUGCUGUAGCUCACCUUGCAAAUUAUUUAGGGGGUCAUGCCAGUGUUUGACUCAUCAUGUCAUGUCUCCCCUCCCCUCACAACACAUUGCAGCUAUGCCUUUUUUUUUGUGGGAUUAAAGAUGUUUCCCUUUGAGGCUGCAAGAGAAAAGUAAUACUUCUGAGCAAGUGAGACAAAAUAGAUGUUAACAUGUAGGUGUUUGCUUAUUGGUUGUUGACACACAGGAUAAUUGCAAAGCUGCUCUAGCUUUAAAGGAUGUAUAUGAAAUGCCAAUGGAAACUUGUGAAUGGUUUAAAACACCAUGUACUUGUGUAAAAUGGCCACGUUACAGUGUUGGAAAAUUAGAUCAUGAUGUUGUGUUUUAAAACUAACUUCUAAAAAUCUUCAGACUGUUGUAUUGCUGCUGUUCAGAGCAGAAGAAAUUUGCAUCUAAAAGUUUAUUUUAGCACUAGUGAAAUAUUUCAAAAAUUAAUGAUAAAGACUGUUAAUAGCUACAGGCCUUCCAAUGUAUAUUGUUAUUAUAAUUGUGCAAUAAACACAUGGAGUUCUAUCCUUCCUUGUUGAUUCUUGUAACAAGAACCAAGAUUCAGCUCUAGCUACAGGAGCUUCAGUGCCUAUACAGGAAACUGUUCCACUAAUUUUAAUAAAACCAGUGUGUAGCAAACAAGUCUUAAAUUAUAAUCCAGUUAAUUUUUACAGUUGUAUAUGGAUUAAAAUUUACCAAAUUACCCACAAAUUAAAUGGGAUUGCCUGAGCCUGUGAUGAUGUAAAACCCAAUAAGCUUUGGUGCCCAAAUAACCAGACAGCUCACCUUAGGAUAUUUCCUGUUUGUGCUGAGAUCCUUUGUGUAUCUUGUUGCUUAGAAAAUACAUGCUAUUUUGUUACUGAGAGGGAAUAUGAACCAUGUUCUUCCUGUUCCUGCUCUAACAUCUUAAUUUUCUGUAUGCUUAGAAUUUUCUGUUAUCCUAUCUAAACUUCAUGGUAAUCAUCUGAACAAUAUUUUCCUUUGGAACCUAAAAUUAUAACAUCAUUGGAACUGU